CUGGUGCUCCACUUCUUUUGAAAAGCACAGCAAAGAGGGGGAGAGCUGUAGAAUGAAUAGGGAGAUGAUAGGGAUUUAGGAGACAGACUGCAGAGUGAAGAUUACAUCAGAGAGGAAAGCAAGAGAGCAUUAAAUUUGGCUUGUUGAUAGCUCUCCUAGUGAGGAAGUAAUACAUCCUAAUCAUCAAGUUAAGAUGGAUAUUCUUAUCAUGUAAAUAUAAAGCCAUCCUUAUUUGUAACUAUAAUCAGCCAUGAUAGUGACGAAAGCACAUUUGGUCCACAAAGGAAGCUUGGGC
rnacentral:lncRNA from 1 species